rnacentral:tRNA from 1 species
GUACCGGUAGCUCAGCGCGGUAGAGCGGUGGGGUGAAGACCCACGCGACGGAGGUUCAACUCCUUCCCGGUACACCA